UCUCGCGUGAGUUUAACUUCCGCCCUUUUGGCUCUCUGAGCAGCGCUAUGGCGGUCGGCAAAAACAAGCGCCUUACGAAAGGCGGCAAAAAGGGAGCCAAGAAGAAAGUGGUUGAUCCAUUUUCUAAGAAAGAUUGGUAUGAUGUGAAAGCACCAGCUAUGUUCAAUAUAAGAAAUAUU